GGCUGGGCUCGAUGCUGCUACAAUAAUUUACUGAAUUUUUAGGUUUGAUGAUGAAGGAUUUGGAGCUGCGGAAGAUAUAUUCUUGUCUAUUUCUGGUUGAUUGGGUUGACCAUCCUUUGUGGGUAUAACAGAAGGUUCUCCCAGCUUAUAGCUCGCAGGUUGAACUGGUCCUUUGUAAUGCCAUUGACGGACAGUCUGCUGCAUUUUCCUUUUCCUCUUAGGAGGCAUCACUUCUUUCACUUGAUCAGCAAAGUCUUUCAAA